UUCUCCCCUUCCUCCCUGCCCAGG
rnacentral:miRNA from 1 species